rnacentral:rRNA from 1 species
GUGACAGCAGCCGCGGUAAUACGGAGGGUGCGAGCGUUAUUCGGAACCACUGGGCGUAAAGCGCGUGCAGGCGGGUGAGGUAAGUCUGAUGUGAAAGCCCGGGGCUCAACCCCGGAAGUGCAUUGGAAACUGCCCAUCUUGAGUUCCGGAGAGGAAGGGGGAAUUCCCGGUGUAGAGGUGAAAUUCGUAGAGAUCGGGAGGAAUACCAGUGGCGAAGGCGCCCUUCUGGACGGCAACUGACGCUGAGACGCGAAAGCGUGGGGAGCAAACAGGAUUAGAAACCCCGGUAGUCC